CUGCUGGCGGCAGCUAGAAGGGGAGAUAGUGAGCUUUAUUAGCUUGGUUAGAUGCUAGAAAAGCGUUUGACUCGGUUAACGCAUGCAAUCUUUGCUUCGUGCAGCUUCGGCGUGCAGGACAUGCUGAGUCCUCUUGGUACUUGGGCAACGCUCUCGUACGACGGGCGGUCACCGAGUGAACGGGUUGCUAUUAAGAUCUCAGUAGUAGGGGUUUAUAGCGGGGAUUCCUCUAUCACCAUAUUCAUUCUGCUAUGUGAUAGAUGAGUUAAUGGACAACCUAGAUAGCGGUAUUGGGUUUCCCGUAUGGGCAGGGCAUAGAGUCACGCGGCAGGCCUUUGCGACGACCUUUGCUAUUCUGUCUAAGGUCUAAAGCUGCCGGUUUGCAGGCGGCUCUUGCAAGCUUGGGGCGCGACUCACUUCUUCCCACUGGGCUUCGAAGGUGAACUCCGGCUAAGUGCUCCACGCUUGCUAUUAUUUGGACAGGGAAGAAAUAAGCGUUGGCUGCAUGAUGCCAAGGGCAGUUUAAGUUUAAGGGGGUCUACUCUGCCAGCACUUGGAGUUGAGGAGUCGUAUAAGUAUUUAGGACUUCAGUAUGGUUCAAAGGGCAAGUUGAAGACGGGGCUGGAGUUGCUUAAGGGUAUGCUCAGAGAGUUAAAGGAGGCGCCGUUGAAACCGCAGCAGAGAGUGUUCCUGCUCAGAACAAAUAUUCUACCUAAGAUUAUGUAUUACUUAGUUAAUGGACGCGUGCACCAGUACACUCUUCGCGAGUGUGACAAGUGUGUUCGACGUUUUCUCAGGGAGGUUCUCCAUCUGCUGCCGCACGACACUCCGGUGUCUGCCUUUCAUGCGUGUGCGAAGGAUGGAGGCCUCGACAUCGACUGUUUUGAGUCGCUUGUCCCAAUGUAUAAAUGGCAGAAGCUGGUGAGCCUCGAAGAGGUUCCGGACAAUUUGGUCCGUGACUUGUCUCAGCUACCUGCCAUUCGCAAGCGGUUUCAACUUAAAGGUGCGCAGACCAGUUUUAAAUAACAGAGCGGAGUAUCGGAUGUUCUGGAAGAACAAGUUGCUGGACAAUCUAGAUGGAUUUGGUUUAGGUGAAGCAGCGGACGUUCCUCAAGUCCACUCUUGGGUGACUGAUGGCUCGUCCCUGCUCACAGGCGAAAUGUAUAUUAAGUGCCUUAAAAUUAGGUGGAAUGUUUGGCCGACUGCAGCUCGUGCGUCCAGAGGUAGGAGGCAGGCCCCUCUCUGUGAUGCGGGCUGCAGGCAAAUUGAAGGUUUGGGGCACAUUCUGCAGCAGUGUAAUAGGACUUGGGAUAAGAGAGGGGCUAGGCAUGAUAGAAUUGUUGAGUUUGUUGGUAGUCAGGUGGAACGGCGAGGGUUCAAUGUUAUUAAGGAGAAGUCUUUUGCGACUCCUAGGGGGCAUAGACGACCUGAUCUAAUUAUAUAUAAUAAGGAUAGAGUGUGGAUUGCUGACGUCACGAUCUGUGCGGACAGAGGAGCGGGGCCUAUGGCCCUCGCGAGGGACAACAAGAUCAAGUAUUAUACGGACGAGGAUCUAGCGACUGAGGUCGCGAAGGUGGCGGGCCCUGGUGCCCAGAGCGUUGUUGGCCUGGUUUGGAACUGGAGAGGGUGUUGCGAGAAGAAGACGGAUGAGUGGCUCAAGAAGAUGGGUGUGCCGAUCGAGUCUAGAAGGCUGGCUUCGGUCAGAGUGCUGGAAGGCUCGGUCUGGUGCGCGGAGGUGUUUAGAAAGAGAACUGGAAUAAAUUUCGCGCAGGUUGGUGGUCGCAAUCGGAGCGAGUAAGUGUCGUGUUUGUGGCUCCGGCGUUCGGUAACGUCCGGACCAGUUUCAGGCAUCCGCCCGGCAGUCCCGGCUGGUCCCAUGUAUAUGACGCUGCUCUAUUUAAAGAGUUGGCCGACUUGACCACCUGGACGGGGGGUUGUACCGGUUUUCCAGCGGUUUCCACGCCAUAAAACCAGCUAAUAUGCUACCUGGAUGAUGGGCCAGUAUAGGCUCGGGCAGUAGCCCAAUGUUUCUUCGCGAAACCUUCCGGGACAGCACUUCAAAAAUAGCCAAAUGCCUCGUCAUCUAAUUAGUGACGCGCAUGAAUGGAUUAACGAGAUUCCCACUGUCCCUAUCUACUAUCUAGCGAAACCACAGCCAGGGGAACGGGCUUGGCAGAAUCAGCGGGGAAAGAAGACCCUGUUGAGCUUGACUCUAGUCCGACUUUGUGAAGAGACAUGAGAGGUGUAGUAUAGGUGGGAGCGUCAGCGACUUUGAAAUACCACUACUUUUAUCGUUUCUUUACUUAUUCAGUGAAGCGGGAGCGGCCUUCACGGGCCUCGUUUCUGGUGUUAAACGGCUGGCCCUCGCGGCCGGCCGUGACCUGCUCUGAAGACAGUGUCAGGCGGGGAGUUUGACUGGGGCGGUACAUCUGUCAAAAGGUAACGCAGGUGUCCCAAGAUGAGCUCAGUCAGGACAGAAACCUGGCGUAGAGCAAAAGGGCAAAAGCUCAUUUGAUUUUGAUUUUCAGUACGAAUACAGACCGUGAAAGCGCGGCCUAUCGAUCGAUCCUUUGAUUAAUCAGAGUUUGAUGCAAGGGGUGUCAGAAAAGUUCAGAAAAGUUACCACCAUAACUGGCUUGUGGCGGCCAAGCGUUCAUAGCGACGUCGCUUUUUGAUCCUUCGAUGUCGGCUCUUCCUAUCAUGUGAAGCAGAAUUCACCAAGCGUUGGAUUGUUCACCCACCAAUAGGGAACGUGAGCUGGGUUUAGACCGUCGUGAGAGACAGGUUAGUUUUACCCUUACUGAUGUCUUGUCGUUGCUAUGGUAAUCCUGCUUAGUACGAGAGGAACCGCAGGUUCAGACAUUUGGUUUAUGUGCUUUGGUCGAAAGACCAAUGGUGCGAAGCUACCAUCUGAGGGAUUAAGACUGAAAGCCUCUUAAGUCUGAAUCCCGCCCAGAAAUGCAACGAUACUAUCGGUGCCCCUACGCCGGAGGCAACGAUAGGCAACGAUAUACUCGGCCGAAAUCCGAUUUCGCGGCCGAGACUGGCUAAAGCCACUGCGAUACUGGCCACACCCGCUGUCUUGAAAUUUGAAAUUUGGCAGUGGAGGCACAGACACGAUACCACUUUGAUUGAGACGUAGGGGUUCUAUAUCGUUUGUAGACGACUUAGAUCUCGGUCGGGGUGCCGUACUUAGUUGAGCAGUUCUUCACUGCGAUCUAUUGAGGCUAAGCCUUUUGACGGGGAGAUAUGU
rnacentral:rRNA from 1 species